rnacentral:SRP_RNA from 12 species
GUGGCCGAUGGGGAUGUGUUGGCGCGUGCGCAGAGUUUUUAUCUGGUGGAAGUGGAGGGGGAGAGAAAUGUCGGUGGGGAUGUUAAGGGAUAUGGAGGGACAAGUUUCGCCUGCAAGGGUAGAAACUGAGCAGGAGGAAUAUAUUGUGGUGAGCAGGGGGUAAUAGAUUGU